GAUGAACGCUAGCGGCAGGCUUAAUACAUGCAAGGCGAAGGGGCAGCAAUUUCACUGUCGUACGGGUGCGUAACGCGUAUGCAACCUACCUAUCACUGGGGGAUAGCCCGGGGAAACCCGGAUUAAUACCGCAUAACACAGGGGCUCCUCAUGGAGAUAUUUGUUAAAGAUUUAUCGGUGGUAGAUGGGCAUGCGUUCGA
rnacentral:rRNA from 1 species